ACCUGGUUGAUCCUGCCAGUAGUCAUAUGCUUGUCUCAAAGAUUAAGCCAUGCAUGUCUAAGUAUAAGCGACUAUACUGUGAAACUGCGAAUGGCUCAUUAAAUCAGUUAUGGUUUAUUUGAUGGUACCUACUACUUGGAUAACCGUAGUAAUUCUAGAGCUAAUACAUGCAGGAAGACCCGACUUCGGAAGGGUUGUAUUUAUUAGAUAAGAAACCAAUCCAGUUUACUGGUUGCGUGCUGAGUCACAAUAACUGCUCGAAUCGCAUGGUCUUGUACCGGCGAUGGUUCAUUCAAAUUUCUGCCCUAUCAGCUUUCGAUGGUAGGUUCGAGGCCUACCAUGGCGUUUACGGGUAACGGAGAAUUAGGGUUCGAUUCCGGAGAGGGAGCCUGAGAGAUGGCUACCACAUCCAAGGAAGGCAGCAGGCGCGUAAAUUGCCCGAAUCCUGACACAGGGAGGUAGUGACAAGAAAUAACAAUACAGGGCUACAUCUAGUCUUGUAAUUGGAAUGAGUACAAUUUACAUCUCUUCACGAGGAUCAAUUGGAGGGCAAGUCUGGU
rnacentral:rRNA from 1 species